AUUGAACGCUGGCGGCAUGCCUUACACAUGCAAGUCGAACGCCAGCACGGGGGCAACCCUGGUGGCGAGUGGCGAACGGGUGAGUAAUGCAUCGGAACGUGCCCAGUAGUGGGGGAUGACCAGUCGAAAGACUGGCUAAUACCGCAUACGACCCAAGGGUGAAAGCGGGGGACCGUAAGGCCUCGCGCUAUUGGAGCGGCCGAUGUCUGAUUAGCUAGUUGGCGGGGUAAGAGCCCACCAAGGCGACGAUCAGUAGCUGGUCUGAGAGGACGACCAGCCACACUGGGACUGAGACACGGCCCAGACUCCUACGGGAGGCAGCAGUGGGGAAUUUUGGACAAUGGCGCAAGCCUGAUCCAGCCAUGCCGCGUGCGGGAAGAAGGCCUUCGGGUUGUAAACCGCUUUUGGCAGGAACGAAACGGCGCAGGCCAAUACCUUGCGCUAAUGACGGUACCUGCAGAAUAAGCACCGGCUAACUACGUGCCAGCAGCCGCAGUAAAAC
rnacentral:rRNA from 1 species